GACGAACGCUGGCGGCGUGCCUAAUACAUGCAAGUCGAGCGGACAGAUGGGAGCUUGCUCCCUGAUGUUAGCGGCGGACGGGUGAGUAACACGUGGGUAACCUGCCUGUAAGACUGGGAUAACUCCGGAAACGGGCUAAUACCGGAUGCUUGUUUGAACCGCAUGGUUCAAACAUAAAAGGUGGCUUCGGCUACCGACGUUACAGAUGGACCCGCGGCGCAUUAGCUAGUUGUGAGGUAAUGGCUCACCAAGGCAACGAUGCGUAGCCGACCUGAGAGGUGAUCGGCCACACUGGGACUGAGACACGGCCAGACUCUACGGAGCAGCAGUAGGAAUCUU
rnacentral:rRNA from 1 species